rnacentral:lncRNA from 1 species
UGAUACACAGUGUGGGACAUAUUUUGACGAAAAGUUUAAGAAAAACGUUAGCAAAACAUAGAUCAGAAAUAGCACAAAUUUUGCAUAACCUCAGCUAUAAGACGGAGAUCAGUCACGACUCUCAGACACACUUUAAGCCACACAUCUCAUGGAAAUAGACAGCCCAAGUGAGCAGAGAGAUUUGGGUAUAGAUGCCAAUUACAGAGCAACAAACACACAAGAUUUAGUGAAAUAUUUGCUAAAACUCUCAGGCCUCAAUAUUGGAACUUAAAGGCUACAACUAGCAAAAACACAUGAGUAAGGACAUAAAAUCGCUGGAAUUUCAGUAGUUGUCAAACGUCAUAAUAGUGUAGUGGUCACAGAGGUGCACUGCUCAGGUGGCCCUUCGAGAGAGAGGACCCCGGGGAGCUGUCAGCUCCAGAUCCGCUUUCUUCAGGAUCCGCUUCAGCACUCACGCUACUGCCACACCCUGCCCGGCUGCCCCCAGCCAACACGUGAGCAUAGUGGGGCAACUAGGGUCUGGCCACUUCUGCCAGAUUCCAGACUCCUCUAAGGGAUAGCCUUGGCUUCAGGCAGCCCAUCCGCCUCGCAGAGGCUUUCCGGGAGGGCACUGCAGUCUUUUGCUCUUCCAACCUACUCAUCCUUCCUGGCCUCUGCUUUCCCCACGGGUAUCAGGCACAUGGUGCAGGCUGAAGCCUCUCCUUGCCCACCCCAUCCCCGCCCCUCUGCCUUUCACAGGCUUUCCCCCAACAAAUCUCCUGCACUUCUAAGUCCAUCAUGCUGUCCCAAACUGAUGCCAACAAAUAUGUAAAUCAAUGUAGUUCUGGCUGGUCUUGCGGGGAGACAAAACAAUAGUUGAAAACUUUAAAUGAAUGUUAACCAUGGAGAGAAUAAGCAUUUGCCAUUUCCACAGUUUAAUCUCUGUUUUAAAUUGUUGCGUCCCGGUAACCACUUCCAACAGAAGCUUCCCUUUUCGUGGCCUUCCCACUGUAUCCAUUACUCCCUAUCUCUCGCUAGCUCAAUGUAAAACACAUUCUGUGGAUACUGAUGCAGAGGCUAUACGGAUGGAGAACAAACAGGGUUCUUCUAAGACACUGACGCAUUAUCUACGAAGAUAAUGGAACCAGAAGGCUAAUCAACCUUGCCAUGCUGCCGUAGACACUGAGGAUGAAUUUUUAUAAGAGGAUAGAGUGGGAGGAUGGAGAAAAAGGAAGUGCCUGCUCCAUCCCCUGAGUGCCAUCUGCUGUGGAGGGCACAGACAGUGCCCGCCCAGAGAGCUCUCUGCCCACAGAUACGCCCACACACCGCACCACUGACAGCUGUGGGAAGGCAACACCAGAGCUGAGAAAACACGGAGCUGGCUUUCAGACUGCACAUAUUGGUCAUCAGAAGGUGCGGAAGAAGCCCCAACGGAACAGACAGAGGAGGCUCAUUUUAAGUUUUAAAAUCAGCUACUAACUCCUCUAGCAAAAAUGAGAAAAUUUUUCUUUGUUAAAGCCCCCAGAAUCUCUAAUUCCCAAUCUGUCAGAGACCUACCUCAUUUACAAACUAACGAAAAUAGAUAUGCGACAAACCAUAAGAAACAGAAAUUGCUGCUUUAGAAUUUCUUUGUAAACCAACACCUUAAACUAGAUAGGAGGAGGCAAGUCACCUUCUCUAUGCUUUAAGAAAGGAGAAAAGACAAGAUGCUUUUUGGAGUUGAUAUGAGAAACUCCACUUUUCCUGACUCCAAAGCACGAAGGGCCUGGAGGAAAUUAGUAGAAGAGAUGCAGGGUGGGGAGAAAAAAAGAAGAGUGAAAGGAAUGGGAAACCAGUGUAAGUAAAAUCCAUACGUGUUUUCUACUCCUAAAAUGACACAAAACACAUUUAAACCAUGUUCAGUAACUGCAUUAUUUGUAAAAUGAUUUCACCAUUCUAUCUAACAAUCUCUAACAGAUUUGUCUGUGACUUUAAAUUUAAAACUUCCUUCCCUCAUUAUGAUCUUUGUUAUCUAGUUUUUAUUUCUUCAGAAGAUCGCUGAAACCUAUACCAGAAAGAGAUUCUCUUCAUAUUGAGAAAAAAAAGGUCCAGAAAUAAAGUCAGUGUCCAAGCCCUUAUUCUGAGUCA